UACGUAGGCAGCAAGCGUUGUUCGGAAUUACUGGGCGUAAAGAGUGUGUAAGCGGUGCUCUAAGUUCGGUGUGAAAUCUCCCGGCUUAACUGGGAGGGUGCGCCGGAAACUGGAGUGCUUGAGCGCGGGAGAGGAAAGCGGAAUUCCUGGUGUAGCGGUGAAAUGCGUAGAUAUCAGGAGGAACACCUGUGGUGUAGACGGCUUUCUGGACCGUAGCUGACGCUGAGACACGAAAGCGUGGGUAGCAAACAGG
rnacentral:rRNA from 1 species